rnacentral:rRNA from 1 species
CAAUAGCGUAUAUUAAAGUUGUUGCAGUUAAAAAGCUCGUAGUUGGAUUUCUGAUCGAGACAUCAGGUCGGGUCCGAGAGGAUCAUGUACUUUGAUUUUGUUUUGAUCAUCCUUGGGGAGAGCAUUUCUGGCAUUCAGUUGUCGGGAUUGGGAUCCUCAUCGUUUACUGUGAAAAAAUUAGAGUGUUCAAAGCAGGCCUCGGCCUCUGAAUACAUUAGCAUGGAAUAAUAAGAUAGGACUUUGGUGGUCUAUUUUGUUGGUUUGCACGCCAAAGUAAUGAUUAAUAGGGAUAGUUGGGGGUAUUCGUAUUCAAUUGUCAGAGGUGAAAUUCUUGGAUUUAUGGAAGACGAACUACUGCGAAAGCAUUUACCAAGGAUGUUUUCAUGAA